rnacentral:rRNA from 1 species
CUGGCGGCGUGCUAUACAUGCAAGUCGAGCGAGCUGAACCAACAGAUUCACUUCGGUGAUGACGUUGGGAACGCGAGCGGCGGAUGGGUGAGUAACACGUGGGGAACCUGCCCCAUAGUCUGGGAUACCACUUGGAAACAGGUGCUAAUACCGGAUAAGAAAGCAGAUCGCAUGAUCAGCUUAUAAAAGGCGGCGUAAGCUGUCGCUAUGGGAUGGCCCCGCGGUGCAUUAGCUAGUUGGUAGGGUAACGGCCUACCAAGGCAAUGAUGCAUAGCCGAGUUGAGAGACUGAUCGGCCACAUUGGGACUGAGACACGGCCCAAACUCCUACGGGAGGCAGCAGUAGGGAAUCUUCCACAAUGGACGAAAGUCUGAUGGAGCAACGCCGCGUGAGUGAAGAAGGUUUUCGGAUCGUAAAGCUCUGUUGUUGGUGAAGAAGGAUAGAGGUAGUAACUGGCCUUUAUUUGACGGUAAUCAACCAGAAAGUCACGGCUAACUACGUGCCAGCAGCCGCGGUAAUACGUAGGUGGCAAGCGUUGUCCGGAUUUAUUGGGCGUAAAGCGAGCGCAGGCGGAAGAAUAAGUCUGAUGUGAAAGCCCUCGGCUUAACCGAGGAACUGCAUCGGAAACUGUUUUUCUUGAGUGCAGAAGAGGAGAGUGGAACUCCAUGUGUAGCGGUGGAAUGCGUAGAUAUAUGGAAGAACACCAGUGGCGAAGGCGGCUCUCUGGUCUGCAACUGACGCUGAGGCUCGAAAGCAUG